CCAACCCACCUCUCCCCUUCCCCGCCACCUCCCCUCACCUUCUCUCCCCGAUCCAGAUCCACACGCCACCGCCGUCGCCGCCGCCCCUCAUCUCCCUCGAUGCCUCCCAUCCCCACCGACGACCUCGAUGCCCUUCUCCCCACCAGCGCCGCCACCAUCCUCUUCCCUUCCCCUCACCUUCCCUCGCUCUCUUCCCUUGGCCACCACACGGGCAGGACUGCGGCGCGGCACCACCGGCUCGUCGUCAGGGACGCGCACGGCGGGCUUCGAGCUCGUAGCGACGGAUCCGCGCUAGGGCGAGGAGCCUCCUGUUCCGCAGCCACUUGGUGCCCUCACGUGCCGCUCGGAGAGGAGCUCUCGUCACGGCCACCUCUUCACCAAGUGUUGCCAUUACCUCAAGGACAAGGAGGCACGACACAGCCUCGAGCUGGCCACUGUGACGGAUCUGCGCCAAGGGCUGCGCUGGCCGAGGAGCCUUGGUGUUCUACCGCCACUUCAUUCCCUCUUCCCCUCUACGGGCCACCGGGAGAGGAGCCCUCCUGAUCUGCAAAGGAGGUGUCCGAGGUCACGCACAGCUGGGAGGAAGAGCGAUUGGGCGGCCACUUCUCUGUGUGAAUGCUUCUUCAAGGGACGCCGCUGCUCCGACCACUCCAUGGAGUUAUUAGUUCAUCAAGGAGAACACGACCCUCUAGAAGGUGUUCGAGAACCCAAGAUGCACCUCCAAAUCUUGCCAUUGCCUGAAGGAGAAGGCGAUGAAACUGGAUGCACGUGUGGGUGGCAGGAGGGCUAGUUCAUGUAGCUUACUUCCUGUUUGUCAUUUUGGUGGCUUGCCAUUUUAUUUACAGCAUUGUGGAUGAUGCCAUUAUCCUAGUUUUCACAUUUAUAUUAGUCACUUAAACAAGGCUGGGUUAAGUUGAGUUCUUCUGAUGCUGAUGGCAAUACAAGCCAAUAGAUCUCACAUGCAAAAAUUCAACAGAUUUUGCUAGGUUAAUGUUGAGUUGGGGCUGCUGCCUGCAUAUGAAUGAAUACAGUAAUGAAGCAGAGAUACUUACUUGUGUAGGCAAAGAUACAUACUGUUGAUGCCACUGGAUUGAUCAGUUGGCAUAUAUAUAAGGAUGAAUACAACCGUUUAGUUAGUUUCCAUGAUUGGUUUAUUUGUGAUUUGUUCUAUCUCUGAUGGUUACCUUGCUUGUGUCUGAACCUGUAUGAUAAGCUAAUAUAUUUUCCAGAAAUGGCUUGGGAACCUGUUUGGUUCCGACUAGCUACCUAUUGCGCAGCUAGUUCCAUGAGUAUUUAGUCUUCUGUCCCCUUUUCUGGUAUUGAUAUGCCACAUAAUGUUCAUGAUGCAUCAUAUCUCAUGUCGAAGUACUUUGUUGUGAUGCUUUGUUUUGGGGUCAGUUAGUAGUACUCUGAACAAGAGCAUAAACAUAUAUGAUUGUGUUAUAUUAAUUGAUUGCAUGCCCUCUUGGAUUUUGUUUUUGCCUGCUGCAUGUGUGCUGAUAGUUUUUGCAUGGUGUUGGCCGCGGGGUCUGGCCAGCGAUGUCGGGUCGUUGGUCGGACAAACGAUCAGAUUUAGUUUUGGUAGAUUUCGUUGAUUGCUGGUACUGUGUUGAUGCAACCUUGAAUGACUUGCCCCUUACGCCGUUGCUCCUCUUUCUUAUCUGCUUUGAUUGCAGGUAUGCAGAGCCAGAUCAUGUGCCACCAUUGCCGAAGGGUGCUAGCCUACCCGUCAGGGGCGCCCAGCGUGUGCGGCGCCAUGUGCCGAGCCAUCACCGCCGUGCCACCCCCAGCGCCAGGUACUGUGUGCAGCCUGAUUUCCUUUUAGUUGUUCUGCUCUUUUUGUGUUGGCAUCGCCUCACAACGUGCCUGAGGUUCAACUCUGGGAAUGUUGCUUUGGAAGUAGGAUGGAGUUUUGCAUUGUAUGACAAAUGUUAUAAAAAUUAUAUAGAAACAUUUGUGAGGAGUACAUGCUAGACAAAGAGUUACCAGGGGAUUUAAAUUUCAUUCUUCCCACAUGCAUGUUUAGUAUGGUCAGAUUCUUUUCUAUGUUUACUUCAGUUCAAGCUUCUGUGCGCCUAGGUUCACUAUUUGCUGCUUGUAGGAUACUUACUCCAUGGCUGAUAAUAUCAGCGUGAUGGAUAAAUCUUAUGUUGCACCCUGUCAUUUGUUCUCAAGAGGCCAAGUGGUUUUCUGCAAAAAGCAUAGAGAAGUAUUGUAAAUUCACAGGAAAUAACAAAAUUGUUUAAAGUUUAUUUGGGUUGGAUCUGUAUAUACACUAUUUUCUUAAAACGCAAACAUGUACAUUCACAACUGAAUAGAUGAUACAUUUUUUUGGAUCUGUACAUGCAAUUUUUUGCACUGGAUUGGUGGUUAGUUUUAUGUACCGUUUGAAUUAUAACAGAAUAGCAUUAGUAGUGCUCUGAUUUAGUUCUCAUCAAAAUCAACAGCCCUCUCUUGUGUCCCUGUUAUGAGAAUUGUUCCUUCAAGGAUAUGCCAGAAUGACAUAUGUGUUCAAUCUUCAAUGUGAACAAUUGGUGUUUUCCUCUUACUUUUGGCCCCUAAAUAUUUUUCUUGAAGCUCCACUACCGCAUCCUGUUCCUGGUACAGCAAGUACCAGUUCUUGAGUGUUUGCACAGUUUUCCUCCAAGGAGCUCCAGGUCUACAAAAUUUGAAGUUCGAAACCAUAUAGCUCUACUCAGCAAAGAAUCGUCUCUUCUAUUUGAUUGUAAUAGAAUGUAAAUAUUGUAAUAUUGUAAUUGUAGGCAUAUCUGGGUUGUAAGAAGUAUAUAGAGAUUGUAGUAGACUUAGUUAGUUUUAUUUGAUGAACUACAUUUGUACUGUUCUGUUUGAAAUAUUGAUUAUGUACGUGAUUUGAAAACGUGUGGAAGGGAAACCUAACUUGUGGGAUUCACUUAUGAAAAUAAUCUCAGUUUUGAAUUUUC